rnacentral:rRNA from 1 species
GACGAACGCUGGCGGCGUGCUUAACACAUGCAAGUCGAACGGAAAGGCCCUGCUUUUGUGGGGUGCUCGAGUGGCGAGCGGGUGAGUAACACGUGAGUAACCUGCCCUUGACUUUGGGAUAACUUCAGGAAACUGGGGCUAAUACCGGAUAGGAGCUCCUGCUGCAUGGUGGGGGUUGGAAAGUUUCGGCGGUUGGGGAUGGACUCGCGGCUUAUCAGCUUGUUGGUGGGGUAGUGGCUUACCAAGGCUUUGACGGGUAGCCGGCCUGAGAGGGUGACCGGCCACAUUGGGACUGAGAUACGGCCCAGACUCCUACGGGAGGCAGCAGUGGGGAAUAUUGCACAAUGGGCGGAAGCCUGAUGCAGCAACGCCGCGUGCGGGAUGACGGCCUUCGGGUUGUAAACCGCUUUCGCCUGUGACGAAGCGUGAGUGACUGUAAUGGGUAAAGAAGCACCGGCUAACUACGUG